AGAAAGAAAAUUCGAUUCCCUGAGUAGCGGCGAGCGAAACGGGAAUAGCCCAAACUAAAGAGCUUGCUCUUUAGGGUUGUAGGACUGAUGUUGUGAGAACAAAAGGUUAUGAUAGUCGAACAAGUUGGAAAACUUGGCCAAAGAGAGUGAAAGCCUCGUAAACGAAAUCUGAUCCACUCCAUUCAGUAUCCUGAGUACGGCGGAACACGAGAAAUUCCGUCGGAAUCUGGGAGGACCAUCUCCCAAGGCUAAAUACUAACUAGUGACCGAUAGCGAACAAGUACCGUGAGG
rnacentral:rRNA from 1 species